AACACCACCAGCAGCAGCAGCAGCAAUAUGGAUGAUCCACACCACGCGAUACAUGGAGGCGCGCACGCACACGUACAGGGGGAGUAGGCACGUAAACACGGGAGCGCGCCUCCGUGGAAGCUAACAUGAACGCAUCGCGGAGCCCCGGAUGACGUCGGUCUCGCCCUCUGGAAGCAUCAAAUCACCGUCAACUCAUUAAAUAUCUAUCACAAACCGCAAUGUCCGAAUGUUAUGUACGCCCAUGGAUACCUAUUCGAUUGUAUUUGACACCAUCGUAAAUAAAUUAGUUCCAAACGCA